GCAGGUGUUUGACUUCGAAUUAUCAGAACAGGAUAUGAAUGACAUCCUCGGCCUAGACAGGAACUUCCGAAUGUGCAGCUUACCCAUAGCUAAAAACCACAAGGACUAUCCUUUCAACAUAGACUACUGAGCAUGGCUCCCCCCUUCCUCCUCCUGCUGCCGGACAGAUGCCCCAGGUCUGACCCGCCCCGCCUCUGCACAGGGUGGCCAGGGAGGGGAGGGACGGGGUUUGAUUUGGGUGGAUUCCUGCCUGGAACACAAGCUGAGCUCCCUGAGAAAUUCACACAGUUCAGCCGGUCUCAGUGAUGGAGACAAACACCAUGGGAGUGGUGAUCACUCUCCAUGGAGAACCCUCAGUCCUAAGGAUCCUUUGAGCACAGUGUGAUGGGAUUUUUACAAGAUAAGCUAUGUGGCCUGUACUCUCGAAAUAAAGAUUGUAUUAUGGAAAUACUUAAAUACAA